ACUGGCUUGCUAGUGCAGCUCCCGCUUCCUGGUGCAGUGGUGAUGUGAUGGCAAGCUCUCUCUGUGUGUGAUAGAGUUGAGUGGGAAGUGGCAUUCUUCACUUCAGGAUGAAAAGGAGUAGGCUGCUAGACUGUGGGUCUCAAAAUUCCAGAUGAGGAGAGAUUUACGGAGACAAAAGCACGUGACUCUGAAUGGGGUGGAAGAAGCUGAUGAAGUUUGCCAGAAACAAGCACCAGUUUGCGUGUGGGGGUGUCACUGUCCAAAGAUUUGCUAGGAGAAGAAUAUGGCUCUUCCCUCCAAUCCCCAAACUAGACCUUGGACCAUCUCUCCACUGGACCACCAGCUACAAUGUCAACAGCUCCACAACUUGCAAGUCUUGCCAAAGUGUUUUAAAGGAUGAUUUAUUAAAGGAAAAUCUAAAUUAGCAAUUGGAUAUAUUCCACUAUAGGAACUUAAGACCACUCAUUAAUUCUACAACGACUUUCUGAGCACCUACCAGUGGGCCAGGCUGGGGAAA
rnacentral:lncRNA from 1 species